GGUUGCGUGCGUUGCAAGGCAAUGGUCACACUCGGAUCAAGCUAACGUAACACCAGUGCAAACUCUGGUGCAAAGGAACGAAGAAAAGCAGCAGGAGGAUAAGAAAGCCCUGUAAAGAGCUGCAGGUGAAGAGACAUGUAGGACCACACCUAGCACAGCAGCCAGUGAAACAGAGCAUGCAGCAGGUGAAGGAGCAACAGACACAACUCGCCCUGAUUCUGCACUACAGCCUGCAGACACUUUCUCCCCCACAACAAGUUCUGAUGUCCAUGAGUCCAUCAGAGAAGAACCGAGUGAUCCUGCUGACUGGCCAACCCUGUCUGGCCAAAGUUACUAAAAAUUAAAAUAUUCUGAG